UAGGAAAGUGACAUUCUUCUCUUUUAAGACAGAUGUGGACCACUCCUCCACUAUCAAGUUUUCAAUAGUGGUGCAAAUAAACAUCUUAAGUUGGUAAAAAAUUUUUGAAGUUUUCUGGCCUACCUUCAAUAACUAACUCUCUCAGAUUGUCCAUUUCUCCCCACCCUAUAGUGCAAAUAAAUCAUCUACUAUGCCAGAAA
rnacentral:lncRNA from 1 species